rnacentral:rRNA from 1 species
AGUGAACGCUGGCGGUAGGCCUAACACAUGCAAGUCGAACGGCAGCACAGUAAGAGCUUGCUCUUACGGGUGGCGAGUGGCGGACGGGUGAGGAAUACGUCGGAAUCUACUUUUUCGUGGGGGAUAACGUAGGGAAACUUACGCUAAUACCGCAUACGACCUACGGGUGAAAGCAGGGGAACUUCGGACCUUGCGCGAUUGAAUGAGCCGAUGUCGGAUUAGCUAGUUGGCGGGGUAAAGGCCCACCAAGGCGACGAUCCGUAGCUGGUCUGAGAGGAUGAUCAGCCACACUGGAACUGAGACACGGUCCAGACUCCUACGGGAGGCAGCAGUGGGGAAUAUUGGACAAUGGGCGCAAGCCUGAUCCAGCCAUACCGCGUGGGUGAAGAAGGCCUUCGGGUUGUAAAGCCCUUUUGUUGGGAAAGAAAAGCAGCAGGUUAAUACCCCGCUGUUCUGACGGUACCCAAAGAAUAAGCACCGGCUAACUUCGUG